GGAAACUUGAAAACUACCAUUGGAUCGAGAAAUGGACGUCCGAGAUUCGUCCACGUCACCGUGAGUUAAAAUUUAACUCCUAGUAAAAUUUUAACUCAUGAGUGAAUCUGCGACUUAAAUUUUAAUUUAUGGUGAUGUGGGCGAAUCUCGAACAUCCAUUUCUUGAUCCAACGGUAGUUUUCAAGUUUCC
rnacentral:pre_miRNA from 1 species